GUCUGUGUAGGAUACUAA
rnacentral:tRNA from 1 species